AAAAAAAGCAUCCAGGUUUCACUCACUCUCUCUCAAAUCCCUAAUUUCUUUUUCUCUCGCAAAUGCAAUGGUUCUUCUCUACGGAUCUCGUUGAUUGCUUCUGAUCUCGGCAACAAUUUCAUCCUCGAGGAGUCUCAUAGCAUCUCUCUCCACUGUGAUUUCAGCAUCGAGGUUCUGCAAGCUUGUGUCGAUUUGAAGCUUGGAAGCUCUCUGUUAGAUUUUGAAUGUCAUUUCAACGAAACCAUUGAGAAGAAGAUGCGAUGAGUUGAGUUGUUUUGUUAUGUAGGUAGAUAUAACUCCAAUUACAAUCUGUUCAGUGAAUAGUUGAAUGCUACAAACAAUACUUAUGGCACUAGCUUUAUAAAUUAGAAAUAAUACUUUUGAAA